rnacentral:rRNA from 1 species
UCCCAUAAACCGUGGCUCAGUUCAGAUCGUAGGCUGCAACUCGCCUACGUGAAGGAGGAAUCGCUAGUAAUCGCAGGUCAGCAUACUGCGGUGAAUACGUUCCCGGGCCUUGUACACACCGCCCGUCACACCAUGGAAGUUGGCCACGCCCGAAGCCGUUACUCCAACCCUCGGGAGGAGGACGUCGAAGGUGGGGCUGAUGACUGGGGUGAAGUCGUAACAAGGUAUCCGUACCGGAAGGUGCGGACGGAUCACCUCCUAA